CAAAAGUCCACCAAAAUUCACUGCAUUGACAGCUCAGACAGCGAGGAUGAUUUCCAAGAAAAAAAGAAGACAAGCACACCUAUAUGCAGUACACCUACUCAAAUGAAAGAUGAUGCUGAGCUCCCUUCAUUGAAUCCAUCACAGUCAAAGAGAAAAAAGAGAAACACAACAAUACUGCCUAGUCCUGAUCAAUCUCCUAAAGAUGAUGCUGAGCUCCCAUCAUUGAAUCCAUCACAGUCAAAGAGAAAAAAGAGAAACACAACAAUACUGCCU